rnacentral:rRNA from 1 species
GAUGUUACGAUUGUGUGAAUACAUAGCACAUUCGAGGUAGACGCAGAGAACUGAAACAUCUAAGUACCUGCAGGAAGAGAAAGAAAAUUCGAUUCCCUGAGUAGCGGCGAGCGAAACGGGAAAAGCCCAAACCAGCAAGCUUGCUUGUUGGGGUUGUAGGACUCCAAUAUGGUAGUUCUUUCAGAUAGUCGAAUGACUUGGAAAAGUCAGUCAAAGAGGGUAAAAACCCCGUAGACGAAAUGUGGAAGACACCUAGGAGGAUCCUGAGUACGGCGGAACACGAGAAAUUCCGUCGGAAUCCGGGAGGACCAUCUCCCAAGGCUAAAUACUCCCUAGUGACCGAUAGUGAACCAGUACCGUGAGGGAAAGGUGAAAAGCACCCCGGAAGGGGAGUGAAAUAGAACCUGAAACCGUGUGCCUACAACAAGUCAAAGCCCGUUAAUGGGUGAUGGCGUGCCUUUUGUAGAAUGAACCGGCGAGUUACGAUUGCAUGCGAGGUUAAGUUGAAGAGACGGAGCCGCAGCGAAAGCGAGUCUGAAUAGGGCGUUUGAGUAUGUAGUCGUAGACCCGAAACCAUGUGAUCUACCCAUGUCCAGGUUGAAGGUGCGGUAAAACGCACUGGAGGACCGAACCCACGUACGUUGAAAAGUGCGGGGAUGAGGUGUGGGUAGCGGAGAAAUUCCAAACGAACUUGGAGAUAGCUGGUUCUCUCCGAAAUAGCUUUAGGGCUAGCCUCGGAAUUGAGAAUGAUGGAGGUAGAGCACUGUUUGGACUAGGGGCCCAUCUCGGGUUACCGAAUUCAGAUAAACUCCGAAUGCCAUUCAUUCAUAUCCGGGAGUCAGACUGUGAGUGAUAAGAUCCAUAGUCGAAAGGGAAACAGCCCAGACCACCAGCUAAGGUCCCAAAAUAUAUGUUAAGUGGAAAAGGAUGUGGGGUUGCACAGACAACUAGG